GAAUUUUGUGCGGUACAUUGAUUAAAGUGUGAGUUUGUGUUAUGAGUUGGAUUGGGUGUGGGUGUGGAAUGUUAUAGUGAAUAGUGAAUAGUGAAUAGUGAAUAGUGAAUAGUGAAUAGUGAUGUCGGAAGGGUAUCCGUGUUCGUGUUGGGAGUCAGAAGCUUCGUGUGGGUGUAGAUCUGAGGCCUCAGGCACAGCUGAACUGAAGCUGUACAGAGCCUUCAUCUUCUGCGUUCCAAUCUUCUUCACUCUCAUUCUCCUCUUUCUCUUCUACCUCUUCUACCUCCGACCCCGAAGGCUCCAUUGGGUCACACUCACACACAACCACAAUGCCAAUGCCAUCUCCACUGGCUUGCACAAAGAUCUCAGGGAGAUGCUCCCCGUUAUUGUCUUCAAGGAAAGCUUCUCUGUCAAAGAUACUCAAUGCUCAGUGUGCCUUUUGGAGUACCAAGCAGAGGAUAGGCUGCAACAGAUACCUGCAUGUGGCCAUACGUUUCAUAUGAGCUGCAUUGAUCUUUGGCUUGCCACCCACACCACCUGCCCUCUCUGCCGCUUCUCCCUACUAACCACUGCUAAAUCUUCAACACAGACACCAUAUAUACAGAUCAUUGAUCAUGCACGACACAUACUGACAACUGAAACAGCCACAGAGCAAUGAAGAAACACAAGCCAUGGCGUUCUCUGAGUCUAGAUCUACUAGGCAACUUGAAACCACUGUCCAUCAAAAUGUCUCUGGAGAAGUUUCUAUCAGUGUUCAAUGCACUGAUGUUGAAGGGCAAAAUGUGCGAAACGAUGAAUAAGAGCAUGAUGACAUGAGAGACUCUUUCUGGUGCAUCAAGUUGAUAAUCACUUUGAUGAAAUCCAGAUAUAAUGGCAGACUUGCUACUUUCAACUCAGUUGAAGCCUCCAGAGUAUGUGCAGCAAACUGCAUUGAUUGAUAAUACUUCAACAAGAAAUGUCUUCAUUCGAGGAUCUACAGCUUUGAUGGCACAUUUGAAUUAACUCAAUUAUUGUAACAUAUAAUACCCUGAAUGGGUCUUUCAAGUAUUCUAAAUUUAGCUUAUGUACCUAAAAUAGUUUAGGUCAGAAGUAAGAAGUAUCUUAUACCUGUCUUUUCAUUUUUUUUUCAUUAAAAAUGCAUAGGGUUUGAUAUUGGGUUGCCAUCCUGUUGGAUACAUUUUCUCAUUUCUACUAAUCAAUAACAUUUCUGAUGCA